rnacentral:rRNA from 1 species
UACGGGGGGGGCAAGCGUUGCUCGGAAUUACUGGGCGUAAAGCGCACGUAGGCGGAUUUGUAAGUCAGGGGUGAAAUCCCGGGGCUCAACCUCGGAACUGCCUUUGAUACUGCAAGUCUUGAGUCCGAUAGAGGUGAGUGGAAUUCCUAGUGUAGAGGUGAAAUUCGUAGAUAUUAGGAAGAACACCAGUGGCGAAGGCGGCUCACUGGAUCGGUACUGACGCUGAGGUGCGAAAGCGUGGGGAGCAAACAGG